rnacentral:rRNA from 1 species
CCUACGGGGGGCAGCAGUGAGGAAUAUUGGUCAAUGGACGGAAGUCUGAACCAGCCAUGCCGCGUGAAGGAAGAAGGCUCUAUGAGUCGUAAACUGCUUUUGUACAGGGGUAAACCUGGAGACGUGUAUUCAGCUGAGAGUACUGUAAGAAUAAGCAUCGGCUAACUCCGUGCCAGCAGCCGCGGUAAUACGGAGGAUCCGAGCGUUAUCCGGAUUUAUUGGGUUUAAAGGGUGCGUAGGCGGAUUGAUAAGUCAGCGGUGAAAUGUCCGGGCUUAACUCGGGAACUGCCUCUGAUACUGGUGUUCUAGAGAGUUGGUGCGGUACGCGGAAUGUGUGGUGUAGCGGUGAAAUGCUUAGAGAUCACGCAGAACACCGAUUGCGAAGGCAGCUUAC